AAACUCAAAGGAAUUGACGGGGGCCCGCACAAGCGGUGGAGCAUGUGGUUUAAUUCGAUGCAACGCGAAGAACCUUACCUACUCUUGACAUCCAGAGAACUUAGCAGAGAUGCUUUGGUGCCUUCGGGAACUCUGAGACAGGUGCUGCAUGGCUGUCGUCAGCUCGUGUUGUGAAAUGUUGGGUUAAGUCCCGCAACGAGCGCAACCCUUAUCCUUUGUUGCCAGCGGUUAGGCCGGGAACUCAAAGGAGACUGCCAGUGAUAAACUGGAGGAAGGUGGGGAUGACGUCAAGUCAUCAUGGCCCUUACGAGUAGGGCUACACACGUGCUACAAUGGCAUAUACAAAGAGAAGCGACCUCGCGAGAGCAAGCGGACCUCAUAAAGUAUGUCGUAGUCCGGAUUGGAGUCUGCAACUCGACUCCAUGAAGUCGGAAUCGCUAGUAAUCGUGGAUCAGAAUGCCACGGUGAAUACGUUCCCGGGCCUUGUACACACCGCCCGUCACACCAUGGGAGUGGGUUGCAAAAGAAGUAGGUAGCUUAACCUUCGGGAGGGCGCUUACCACUUUGUGAUUCAUGACUGGGGUGAAGUCGUAACAAGGUAACCGUAGGGGAACCUGCGGUUGGAUCACCUCCUUUCUG
rnacentral:rRNA from 1 species